CCUCUGAUCCUCGGCUGUGGGGGGCGGGCCUCCCUGGCGCGAACCUCCCCUCGCUCCCGUCUGGGGGUCGGCCGCCUCUCCCGCGUUUGGCUCCCAAACCCUGACCAGCCUCUCCCGGCCCGGCGUCCCCGCUGCGUCCAGGGCCCGCGUCGUCCUUGCCGACGGUUACCCGCCCCCAGCGAAGCCCGCCUUCCCCUUGCGAAGCUUCCCCCUCCGCCCGGGUCCUUCAGCACCUGAGUGACUGACUCCUGCCUACCACCCCUGGGAAGACCAGGGUACCACGUCAUGGCGGCUUUGCACCUGUCCACCGCUCCCCCGAGAGGAAGGGAGAGAGAGACAGAAACAUUAAAGAUGAGAGAGAAUCAUGGAUCAGCUGCAUCCUACAUGCCCCACACUGUGGAUCGAGCCUGCAACCCGAGCCUGUGCCCUGACCUGGAAUUGAACUGUGAACUCCUAGUUCAUAGGUUGACCCUCAACCACUGAGCAACCCUGGCUGGGCAAGAGGUGUCUAAUUAUUUUAAAGAAAAUACUGUUGUGCUUGUCAUUGCAGCAAAACACCUUUGCUACCAUCACCGUUGCUGUUUCCUCAAAACCAGAAAAUUCACACUGGAAAGAAUUCUACAUAUGUAUAUAUUGUAAAUGUUAAAAAUUUAACAUCAUUCAUACUUUUUUGUGUGUACCUAAUAGAGUGGAUGAUUGCUUUUUUAUUGUGCUAAAGUACAUAUAACAAAAUUUACCAUUGUAACCAUGUAAGGUGUACAAUUCGGUGGUAUUAAACACAUUCACAAUGUUGUGUAACCAUCACUACUAUCUACAGAACUAUUUUAUUAUACCAAACAGAAACUCUGUACUCAUUAAACAGUAACUCUCUAUCCUCCCCUUGCCCAUGCAGCUGGCAACCCUCUAUUCUGUUUUCUGUCUCUAUGAAUGUACCUAUUCUAGGCACACAUACAAGUGGUAUCAUGUAAUAUUUGCCCUUUAUGUCUGUCUUAUUUCACUAAGCAUUAUAAAUGUCUUCAAGGUUCAUCCAUGUUGUAGUCUGUAUCGGAAAGUUAUUCUUUUUUAUGGCUGAAUAGUAUGUCAUCCUUUGUAGAUACCCCAUUUUGUUUAUACAUUUAUAUUGAUAGACACUUGUGUGUUUCUACCUUUGUGCUAGUGUGCAUAAUGCUGUGAACAUUGGUAUACAAGUAUGUGUUUGAAUUCUUACUUGCAGUACAUCUGGAUAUAAUCCUAGGAUUGAAAGGAGUGAAAUUGAUGGGAUUUAUGGUGAUUCUAUGUUUAACUUUUUGAGUAAUAGCCAAACUGUUUCCAC